GCCCUCCUGUGGCCGUGUGACCCACCCCUCUGCCCCUCCUGUUCCCCUGACUCACUCACGUCUCGGUUGCAAGUGGGACGUCCAGGUCUACCUCUAACAGUGUACAUUGUUUCCCUCACUGUGGGAGGCGUCCCAGCCUUCUGCCGUCUCCAUUCUGCUUCUUUCGCUGAGCCGUCCCCAUGGGUAGAGAAGUGACAGUCCAGAACUAUCCAGGGAAGAGGCCCCAGCGGCCGUCCUGGCCCUGCUGUUGUGACUACAGUGACGUGCCCCAUCGGGGCUGGCCUGUUCAAAACCCUGCCGGGUAGCCGACCGUUUCUAGGAAGGAGGCUGGACUUCUUCCCUUAGCCCUGAGGCCCCUGCUGCCUGCUGGAGACCUGGGCCCUUGACAGAUCCCAUGACACACUGCCCUGUGGAAUUGUGCCCACUGUCCUGCCUGGGCCCCCACCCCCCUCCCCAGUCUGGGCAGGACUUGUGUCACUAGUGGUUCUUGCCCUGGACCCAGCGUGGCUGGUGAGAAAGAGUGGGUUGUGGUUACUCUGGUCAGAGCUGGUGGCCUCAAAGGGCCCGCAGGAGUCAUGUGGGGUUUAGCGUGUGAGACCCGAGAGCCUUCGGUGCCAGCUGGCGGUGGAUGAGCCGCCCCCUCGUUCUGUCGGCACCGCGCUGCUACCCGAACAGCGUCGCGUGGGCCUUGCCCUGGUGUGGUGCCGGCCGCGAGCUGCCCUGCCCAGGCCUGGGGUGGCUUCUGGGCGGGCGAGGAUGGAGUCCAGCUGGACGUGGAGUUCGAAUUGCCCUCUUCCACCCUCUCCCCGCGCUCCCCGGACUUGGCCGCGCGGCCUGGGGCAGGACAGACCAUGCUCCAAGGGGCCAGGGGGAGCUGGGCUGACCAGCGAGAGCACAAGUCCCCACCUCGAGCCACGGUCCGGCUGUCAGAGAGCGUCCGGAGGCCAGCGGCCCGCCCUGACGGUUCUGGUUGCCAGGAAAGGCAGUGGCUCCACGGUGUCCCAACCCGCUGGCGGGGCGGGCCCUGGCCAGCGCGGCGUCACGCGGGCGGGGCGGCCAGAGUCCGGGGCGCCAGGGCAGCGGCCAGAGUCCGAUGGCGGCGGAGCAGGACCCCGAGGGGCGCGCGGCGGCGCGGCCGCUGCUCACCGACCUGUACCAGGCCACCAUGGCGCUGGGCUACUGGCGCGCCGGCCGGGCGCAGGAGGCGGCCGAGUUCGAACUCUUCUUCCGCCGCUGCCCGUUCGGCGGAGCCUUCGCCCUGGCCGCGGGGCUGCGCGACUGCGUGCGUUUCGUGCGCGACUUCCGCCUGACGGACGCAGACGUGCAGUUCCUGGCCUCGGUGCUGCCCCCAGACACAGACCCCGCGUUCUUCCAGCAUCUUCGUGCCCUCGACUGCUCCGGGGUGACGGUGCGGGCCCUGCCCGAGGGCUCCCUCGCCUUCCCCAGCGUGCCGCUGCUGCAGGUGUCCGGGCCGCUCCUGGUGGUGCAGCUGCUGGAGACGCCGCUCCUCUGCCUGGUCAGCUACGCCAGGUGGGGCCCGGGGCGCCAGGUGGGGCCUGGGGCGGGACACCCGCCUCCCGCCCGAGGCCGGAAGCCUGGACUCUCCGUGAAGGAGCGCUGACUUCCGGGCCCGGACCCGUGGGGCGUGGCCCCUGGGGGCGGAGCGCUGAGCCGGGGUCCUGGCAGGGGCCUCCGGCUCCCGCUGCUCGGGUCCUCGGGAGAGGCAGCGCUCUGGGUGGCUUCCCGGCCGUCACUGCGGGUCCCCUGCUCCCUUGCUCCCGCAGCCUCGUCGCCACGAACGCCGCGCGGCUUCGCCUGAUCGCAGGGCCGGAGAAGCGGCUGCUGGAGCUGGGGCUUCGGCGGGCUCAGGGCCCCGACGGGGGUCUUACCGCCUCUACCUACAGCUACCUGGGCGGCUUCGAUGGCAGCAGCAACGUGCUCGCAGGACAGCUGCGGGGCGUGCCGGUGGCCGGGACCCUGGCGCACUCCUUCAUCACCUCCUUUUCAGGCACCGAGGUGCCCCCUGACCCGAUGUUGGCUCCAGCGGCUGGUCAGGGCCCCAGGGUGGACCUGGCCGCCUGCGUGGAGACGUGGCUGGAGCGUGUGUGUGGCCACCUGGGGCUGGGGGUGCAGGAGCCACACCGGGGUGAGCGGGCGGCCUUUGUGGCCUAUGCCCUGGCCUUUCCCCGGGCCUUCCAGGGCCUGCUGGACACCUACAGUGUGCGGAGGAGUGGUCUCCCCAACUUCCUGGCUGUAGCCCUGGCACUGGAGGAGCUGGGCUACCAGGCAGUGGGAGUGAGGCUGGACAGUGGCGACCUGCUUCAGCAGGCUCAGGAGACGCGUGGCGUCUUCCGAACAGUGGCGGCCCAGUUCCGGGUGCCCUGGCUGGAGUCCAUCCCCAUUGCUGUCAGCAACAACAUUGAUGAGCAGGAGCUGGCCAGGCUGUCCCAGAAGGGCAGUGAGGUGAACGUCAUCGGCAUCGGUACUAGCGUGGUCACCUGCCCUCGCCAGCCUUCUCUGGGCUGUGUCUACAAGCACCCUGUCCCUGUAGCUGGUGUCCGUGGGAGGCCAGCCGCGGAUGAAGCUGACCGAGGACCCCGAGAAGCAGACAUUGCCUGGAAGCAAGGCUGCCUUCCGGCUCCUGGGCUCCGAUGGGGCUCUGCUGUUAGACGUGCUGCAGUUAGCAGAGGAGCCACCUCCCCAGGCUGGCCAGGAGCUCAGAGUCUGGCCUCGAGGGACCCAGGAGUCCUGUACCGUGAGGCCGGUGCACGUGGAGCCGCUGCUGCGACUCUGGGUCCAGCAGGGACAGCUGUGUGAGCCCCUCCCAUCUCUGGCCGAAUCUAGAGCCUUCGCCCAGCAGUCCCUGAGCCGUCUGAGUCCUGCCCACAGGUGGCUCGAGCAGCCUGCGCUGUACCAGGUGGCGCUGUCUGAGAAGCUCCGGGCCCUGGUGGACAGACUGAGUGCAGAGGUGCCCUCUGAGAAUCCCCUGCUGGGAGCUGCCUGAAAUGAACAUGAGUCACUCACUAUCCCCA